rnacentral:rRNA from 1 species
GACGAACGCGGGCGGCGUGCCUAAUACAUGCAAGUAGAACGCUGAAGGAGGAGCUUGCUUCUCUGGAUGAGUUGCGAACGGGUGAGUAACGCGUAGGUAACCUGCCUGGUAGCGGGGGAUAACUAUUGGAAACGAUAGCUAAUACCGCAUAAGAGUAGAUGUUGCAUGACAUUUACUUAAAAGGUGCAAUUGCAUCACUACCAGAUGGACUUGCGUUGUAUUAGCUAGUUGGUGGGGUAACGGCUCACCAAGGCGACGAUACAUAGCCGACCUGAGAGGGUGAUCGGCCACACUGGGACUGAGACACGGCCCAGACUCCUACGGGAGGCAGCAGUAGGGAAUCUUCGGCAAUGGACGGAAGUCUGACCGAGCAACGCCGCGUGAGUGAAGAAGGUUUUCGGAUCGUAAAGCUCUGUUGUAAGAGAAGAACGAGUGUGAGAGUGGAAAGUUCACACUGUGACGGUAUCUUACCAGAAAGGGACGGCUAACUACGUGCCAGCAGCCGCGGUAAUACGUAGGUCCCGAGCGUUGUCCGGAUUUAUUGGGCGUAAAGCGAGCGCAGGCGGUUAGAUAAGUCUGAAGUUAAAGGCUGUGGCUUAACCAUAGUACGCUUUGGAAACUGUUUAACUUGAGUGCAAGAGGGGAGAGUGGAAUUCCAUGUGUAGCGGUGAAAUGCGUAGAUAUAUGGAGGAACACCGGUGGCGAAAGCGGCUCUCUGGCUUGUAACUGACGCUGAGGCUCGAAAGCGUGGGGAGCAAACAGG